UCCACCGGCGCCAUAGCCGGCAUGGUGCACGCGCCGGGCAUCCACUACCUCCCCGCUGUCUAUAAGACAACCCCAACGCCCGGGACGAACCCUAGUUGUCCUCCCCCCUUUCCCCCGCGUCGUUUUCUUCCUCUCCCGCACACGUCUGAGCUCCACCCGCCAUGUCCAUCGUCGUCCUUGUGUCCAUCGUCCACCUCAUCGGUUGAGGCCUCUGUAGGAGCUGUGUGUGCUUCUCUACAUCGACUCCGAGGAGCAUCUCGAGCAGGAGAUCGCCACAACACAAGGAUCGACGUCGUCUUCUACCUCCGGCCACCGUGGCUCCAUCGACGAAUUCUUCACCUUCACUGCAUCCCCGACUUCCUCGAGCUCCUCUCCCGACUCGCUACCUCGUGACGAUGCUGAUGCCCCUGUGAUUGACUACGUCACUGACGACCCUUCCUUGCCAGAGCAACCAGGCAAGCCCCCCCUUUGAUCAUCCCGAUGUCGGUGUCCAGGAGAUAGACACCACCGCUAGUGCCUACUACCACGUGACGGACGCCGACGACCAGGAGUAGUUAGGAGGCUCCCAGGCAGGAGGCCUUGCCUUUUCGAUCAUGUUGCUUUUGUCCUAGU